rnacentral:miRNA from 1 species
UAAGUCAAAUCAGUAUGCUGUAC